rnacentral:rRNA from 1 species
AGUGAACGCUGGCGGUAGGCCUAACACAUGCAAGUCGAACGGCAGCACAGUAAGAGCUUGCUCUUACGGGUGGCGAGUGGCGGACGGGUGAGGAAUACAUCGGAAUCUACUUUUUCGUGGGGGAAAACGUAGGGAAACUUACGCUAAUACCGCAUACGACCUACGGGUGAAAGAAGGGGACCUUCGGACCUUGCGCGAUUGAUUGAGCCGAUGUCGGAUUAGCUAGUUGGCGGGGUAAAGGCCCACCAAGGCGACGAUCCGUAGCUGGUCUGAGAGGAUGAUCAGCCACACUGGAACUGAGACACGGUCCAGACUCCUACGGGAGGCAGCAGUGGGGAAUAUUGGACAAUGGGCGCAAGCCUGAUCCAGCCAUACCGCGUGGGUGAAGAAGGCCUUCGGGUUGUAAAGCCCUUUUGUUGGGAAAGAAAAGCAGCAGGUUAAUACCCCGCUGUUCUGACGGUACCCAAAGAAUAAGCACCGGCUAACUUCGUG